GUGACUGUUCCUGGUAUUGAUUGCAUUUGUUAGUUGUACGGUGCAACCAUAGACAGUCACACACAUUAAAAACAGAUGGUUCCUGCCGACAGGGUCUGUAUAGUUAUCAGAUUUUCUGUGCGAUGGCUCCAUACAUG
ensembl:scaRNA